AUCACUUCUUGGCCUUUUGACUAAGAUCAAGUGCAG
rnacentral:snRNA from 1 species